GCGAACGCGCGGGCUGAGGCGCAGGGCACGCUGGGACAACGAGUCCCUCCUACUGCCAGCCCCUAGCCGCCCUCGCGGACUACCGAACUACAAUCCCCAGCAUGCUUUUCGCGCCCCUAAGCCAGGCCCUGGGGCCUUGCCCUCCGAGGGCCUCGCACGCUGGAAUCGCCGAGCACGCUGGGAAGGGUCAGGCUCCGGCGGGAAGGCGGAGCCGUUGGAAAGCACGAGGGGAAGCGUGGUUUCUCCCGGAAAAACCAUAUUCACCAGGAACGCCGAGCGGUAACCCGUAAUAGAGCGGGGCGGGGAACACACACUGAACUGGCACUGGGGUGAGAGGACACCAUGUCUGGAAAUUUACCUUCAAGUGGUUCAGAGAAACAAGAGCGCAUAUAAUGAGCGUGUGUGUGACAUGUGGAGAGAAAUGACGAAGCAUGUGGUACACUGUUUGGAAGAGGCAAUGGCACCCCACUCUAGUACCCUUGCCUGGAAAAUCCCAUGGACAGAGAAGCCUGGUAGGCUGCAGUCCAUGGGGUCGCAGAGUCGGACACGACUGAGCGACUUCACCUUCCUUUCUUUUUUUUAUGGUACACUGUUAACACUUGGGGGAUCUGAAUAAAGACUAUGUGGAAAAUCUU